GCGGCGCUGCAAAAAUUGACUUCUUCUUUUUUUGGCACAUUGCUUUGCAACCGCAGCAGCAGCAAGCAAAAGUGAGCUAAGCUCAGAGAAGAGGAGGCCGGCCGUACAGAAGAAAUAAAAAACGCGAUUUUUGCCAAUCUCCAAUCCAAAAAGCAGUGAAAUUUGUUCGGAAAACCAAACCGCGCGUUUCCGUGUUCGCGAAAAAACAGUCGGAGUGAAUCGUUUUCGUAUUCCGGGAUAUCCCAGGUGGAAAUCCUUCUUUUUUCUUACCGCGAGUGUGGAUCUGUCUGGAAGCGCUAGAAAAAAAGGCACACAGAACAGAGGAGCAGGAGAACGAAAAAGCGAAGCGAUUCAUCGUUCAUCGCGCUGUGCGUGUGUGAAAAUUUUUGGAAAAGGUUUUUCUAAUUGCGUUUGGGAAAAGCGGAGUGCGUUUUUUGCGUGGCCGUGAUAUAGGUGCUUCUACCCCGGGAUCCGUCAAGAUGCAGAUCGUCCAGGUCCUCGAGAAGACUGUCUCUCCAGACAAAGAUGAACUGCUGGCAGCGAAAAACUUCCUGGAGCAGGCCGCCGCAUCCAACCUGGCCGGCUUCAUCCGGGCCCUGUCCGAUGUGCUGGUCUUUGUUGGCAAUUCCGGCGUGGCCCGCAUGGCCGCUGGUUUGCAGCUCAAGAAUCAGCUCACCAGCAAAGAUCCCGCCAUAAAGUUCCAGUACCAGGAAAGGUGGCUCUCAUUCCCGGAGGAUAUGCGAGAAUACGUUAAAAAGAAUAUUGUGGCAUCUCUCGGAACGGAAAGCACCCGUCCUUCAUCUGCAGCACAGUGCGUCGCUUAUGUGGCUGUGGCCGAGCUUCCCGUUGGGCAAUGGCCUGAUUUGAUACAGAAGCUGGUGGACAAUGUAGUCAAUGAUAAGUCCACGGAAAUGCAACGGGAGGCCACCCUCGAAGCCAUCGGUUAUAUCUGUCAAGACAUCAAUUCGGAAAUCCUAGAGCAUCAAUCCAAUCAGAUCUUGACGGCAAUCAUCCAUGGAAUGCGAAAGUCGGAACCGUCGAAUCACGUAAGGUUGGCAGCUACCAAUGCUUUGCUCAAUUCGUUGGAGUUCACCAAAGCCAACUUUGAAGAGGCGACUGAGAGAAACUACAUCAUGGAAGUUGUCUGCGAAGCGACCCAGUGCAGCGAAACUCAGAUCUGUGUGGCCGCUCUUCAGUGUCUGGUAAAGAUUCUCACCCUCUACUACCAGCAUAUGGAAGCAUACAUGGCUCAGGCUCUAUUCCCGAUCACCCUGGAGGCGAUGAAAUCAGACAACGAGCAAAUAGCCCUGCAGGGUAUCGAAUUCUGGUCCAACGUGAGCGAUGAAGAAAUUGAUUUGGCCAUCGAAGCACAAGAAGCGGCAGAAGCAGGACGACCUCCCAACCGAGUGUCCCGUCAUUAUGCCCGUGGAGCCCUCCAAUUCCUCGCUCCGGUGCUGAUGGAAAAACUCACGCGGCAGGAAGAGUUCGACGACGAAGACGAUUGGAAUCCCUCGAAGUCGGCGGGCGUUUGUUUGAUGCUGUUGGCCACAUGCUGUGAGGAUGAGAUCGUUCCGUAUGUCUUGCCAUUCGUUAACAAUAACAUCAAGUCCACCAACUGGCGCUAUCGGGAUGCUGCUCUGAUGGUGUUUGGAUCGAUUCUCAGCGGUUUGGAAACGAAUACAUUGAAACCAUUGGUUGAACAAGCCAUGCCCACGUUGAUCGAACUAAUGUACGAUCAGAGCGUGAUUGUGCGGGACACCUGUGCAUGGACCUUCGGCAGGAUAUGUGAGGUCAUUCCAGAAGCCGCCAUCAACGAGCAGUACCUGGAGCCGUUGCUGAAGGCUCUGCUCAACGGCUUGAAGGCUGAACCCCGCGUAGCUACCAAUGUGUGCUGGGCAUUCACUGGACUAUCGGAAGCAGCUUACGAUGCAGCCAAUGUAGUUGACGACCCGCCACAGACCUACUGCCUAUCGCAGUACUUCGAUUUCAUCAUAAGCAACCUGCUGGAAACGACCGAUCGUCACGACGGUGGACAGGCCAAUCUACGCUCGUCAGCCUACGAAGCACUCAUGGAAAUGAUCAAAAACUCACCGCAGGAUUGUUACGUGUCGGUACAAAAGACAACUAUGGUCAUCUUGGAGCGAUUAAAUCAAGUUCUCCAGAUGGAGUCCCACAUUUCCACCCACUCCGAUCGACAUCAGUUCAACGAUCUGCAGUCUCUGUUGUGUGCCACUUUGCAAUCCGUGCUACGAAAGGUCGAUGCCAAGGAUGCUCCUCAGAUCUCGGACGCAAUCAUGACCGCUCUGUUGACCAUGUUCAGUUCCAGCUCCGGAAAAGUUGGUGGUGUGCAGGAAGACGCUUUGAUGGCAGUGUCCACAUUAGUCGAUUUACUAGGCGAAGGAUUCAUUAAGUACAUGGACGCCUUCAAAGAAUAUCUGUACAUGGGCCUGAAAAAUCAUCAAGAGUAUCAAGUUUGCUGCACAGCGGUCGGACUUGCCGGAGACAUUUGUCGAGGCUUGAAAAACAAAAUUCUUCCCUACUGUGACGAAAUCAUGACAUUGCUUCUAGAAAACCUUAGCAAUCCGUCGAUCCAUCGAAGCGUAAAACCACAGAUCUUAUCCGUAUUUGGUGAUAUGGCACUGAGCAUUGGUCCGGACUUCAAAAAGUAUCUCAGCAUUGUCCUGCAGAUGUUGACGCAUGCGACGCAGGUGCAGAUUGAUCCAAACGAUUACGAUAUGAUUGACUACCUGAACGAAUUGCGCGAAAGCGUGCUGGAAGCCUACACCGGAAUCGUACAGGGCUUGAAGGGAGUCGAUAAGUCGCCCCACGACGACGUCAAUCUGCUCCAGCCGCACGUACCCUUCAUCAUCAACUACAUCGUUUCGAUUGCCAAGGACAGUGAACUCUCGGACGGAAAUAUUGCCAUCGCGUCGGGUCUGAUUGGCGAUAUGUGCACAGCGUUUGGUCCCCCACUGUUGCAACUGUUGGAAGACUUCCAGAUUCAGCAGCUACUGGCCGAAGGCAAAAACUCGCGGACAGGACGCACCAAGCAACUCGCCAACUGGGCCCUGAAGGAAAUCAAAAAGCUGAAACAACCUGCAAACGACGCGAGUUGGCGACUUAAAUGAACUGGUAGUUGAGAGUUGUAACAUACUAUUAGGAAGGGAAUGCCGUGUAUAAUCGGGUGUGAGUUAUGUGUGUGACCGAAUGAAAAGAACGAGUGUGCCUGCGAAAGUGUUCCAGAGCAAACCUGAAACGAAUCGUAAUCAAGAGAUGGGCGAGGAGGAUAUGGUCUGUGCGAAUCCGCUCUUGAAUGGGUAUUUGAUUGGAAGGUAAUGUUACUAGAUUUAAUCCAGUAUCAAUGGCAACACGCUCAACUACACAUCAGCCAAUGGUAGCGGCGGCACCAACAGCAGCACAGUUCCAGCAAUCUAAUUCCGCUACUAAAACAUUCAGCACAUCAUCGUCCCAGCUCCAAUUGCCGUCGUCCGCCACAACAACCGCCGUCUCGAUUCAGCAGGACCUAGAUGAACCCUUCCGUUGCAACUACUACUACAGCGACAAUCUAUGCUUCGACGUGUCGUUGCAGAUCUAAAGGUUUGAAUUUUACCAUUGCGUUUUACCAUUUUGAACGAAGCACUUCAAGUCCACAAAAAACUCCACACAUCAAGUAAGUCAAACCCGUAUGUUAGUUCUGUAUUUUAUGUGCGGGGUAGACCAAAGAAGGAAAUCCAUUUGGGCAUGAGGUCUCUUUGGCGAAGAGAAUGAUGUCGAUAGGGUUUGGGACAGAAGCAUGAUCUGUACAGCCGAGCAGAAAACAGGAACAUAAAUCUGUGUCGUAGUGAAAGAUAAAUUAUUGCUGUGUAAGCUUAAUCCAAUUAAAUCAAUUAUCCAACAUAAAAUCAUGCAAAAGUAAGCAAGAAACCAUACCUAACGGGACACCACUACAUACACACAAAGACGCUCUGUAAAAUCUUUCCUUCUAUGAAUAUGAUGCAAAAACAAUUUUUCCGGGAAAAAUAUUACACAAAGAACAUUUGCUAUAGGAUAGUGGAAGCGUGUGCCAUAGUGAAACGGAAAAUCUCGUUCCGGGGGCCCCGGUGGUCCGCCAAAAUCCGAUUGUAAAGUUUCGUAAAAAGUUGUUAUUCAUCUCUCUGUUGUACUUUCACCGUGGCACUCGUUCUUUUUUUGUUUUUGACACAGCAAACAUUUCGACAAAUACACACAAACACCCAUACUAGAUGUAUUCAGUAAGUAAAAUUAAAACAGAAAUAAUAUUUAAUUACAGUUAUGAAGCAAGAUCAAUGGAUCGAUUCAAAUAUCCACCAGCAGAAACAUAAAAAAAACAGCAAACGAAGGGGAACGAAAUACUUCUGAUUCGACAAAUAUUACAGAGCCUAGUGUGCGUUCGAUCAUUGGCCAGCGAUCGACUUGUUAGUUCUGUUCAUUUUUUUUUAUGUGUUUAAGUCGUCUCUGUGAGGCACAAUUGGGUAAUUCACAUUACCAUGAUCGAGUUUUAGAAGUUUACACGCAGAUUCUAUGAUCAAAUGGUGAGUGUAUAUUUUAGAAAUGGUCGGUAGACCAAAACGUGUUAGGCAACCAAUCGCAGCUGUAAUAUUUUAGAGGAGAGAAAUAUUUCGUUGACCUGGGUCCUUUUCCCUUGACUCUGGAGCUGGAAAGCGGACAAGACUCCAUUCAGGCCAUUAGUUUAUUUUUAAUUAAAUGCAUUGAAAAGUUCCACAAAAAAUAAGAAAAUGUUGAGGGAAAAGGUCCGAAAGUAAAAAGAAGUACAUAUAAUUAGGAAAAAAACGAGAAGAGAGGAGCUUAAGGUGUAGAUUUAAUAAUUGAUAAUAUUAAAAAUCAAAUAAGAAAAAAUAAUAAUAAAAUACAAAAAAAAAAUAAGGUCAAGUCAUGCAAUUGCUCGACGACGAUGUGUGUUGAGAAAGAGAGAGUUGCUGCGAGAGUGCGAGAACCACUGUAUGGGAACCGAAGUGGGUGAUGAGAUCGGAGCUGUAGAAUGCGUAUUCUGGAGAGAGAUGGCGGUGAUACGAGAGAGAGAGAAAGGUGAGCGAGCGUAUUGUUGUGCGAAGGUCGUUUUUAUCGGUGAUUGUGAAUCUGUCUUCUGUGAGGAUGAUGAAAUGGUGGGAUGUUUGCCGCUUGACAAACGUUAAAAAGUAGAUAGUGUGAAGAUGAUUUCCGGAUUUCUGGUAUGAUGUGUCUUUUUCUAUUUCAAUGAGAUGACGAUGCUUCAUCAGAUAAUCUUUCUAUUGUUGGUACUGGUCAUUCCAAACGUCGGCCAGGGAUUACCUUCGACAUUACAUGAAACAUGUAGUCUGGUUGUAAAUUUGACGAACGAGAGAUUUUUUGGUUUGCUAUGUGAUUUCGACCGGCCCUAAGAUUAUGGUUUUCAAAUUACGCAUCAUUUUUGGACUUUAAGCAAUAUCCGGUCUACGGGACAUUUCUUUGUGUGAGUUGAGAAUCAAAUUCUUGGUGAAUUUCAUUUAUUUUUUAUGAUUGAAACCUGAAACCCACGCCUUUUGAUGAAAUUCAUAUUGACCUUUUUGAAAAAAAAGGAAUAGUAAAAUUUAUAUUUCUGGCUUUAAUGUAUAUCAUGUUUUGUGGCUUAGUUGGUUAAAGCGCCGGUCUAGCAUUCUCGUCAGUCAUGAGUUCAAAUCCACCAGAGCUUAGUGAUUUCACGCCCAUGUAUUUUUUUCAAUUUGUUAAUCAAACAAAGACAGAUUGUCCUUAUUUCAAGCUAUUCUGCAUGUUUUCAACAUACCAGCCGACUGGUAUAGUGACUAAUUGCCAAUGUUGCAAUUUACUACCAGAUUACUACUGACCGAUGGUUUACAAGUAUAGCAAUUGAUCUGUUUCAGCGAGUGAAAAACGCUCAAACAUAACAGAAAAAGAAAAAAAAUAUUACUUGAACCAUUGGGUGACGCACAAAGCAAUGUAAAGAAAAAACAUUGCGAAUCUUAAUAAAGCACCUAAUAAAUUUUAAAUGACCGAUGACUGAUGACGAUAUCACGAUAAGGAAAACAGAAUGACUUGACUUGUCCUACGGAAAUAACUACAAAUAGAACAGAAGAAAUCCAAACCAAUGGACGAUACUAAAGAUACUGAAUGUGAAAGAAGUUCUGUGUGUGGAUUCCAGAAUGUUCCAGGUGUGCUUGUGUGUGAACGCAAUUGUAUCCAACCGCGGAUAUUGUUCCUAUUGUUUUCGUUCGAAUUGCGUUUCGUUUGUGGACGUGUAAGAUGAUGCAUCUUGCCAAAUUUUCAAA